rnacentral:rRNA from 1 species
UAGGGAAUCUUCGGCAAUGGACGAAAGUCUGACCGAGCAACGCCGCGUGAGUGAAGAAGGCUUUCGGAUCGUAAAACUCUGUUGUUAGAGCAGAACAAGGACGUUAGUAACUGAACGUCCCCUGACGGUAUCUAACCAGAAAGCCACGGCUAACUACGUGCCAGCAGCCGCGGUAAUACGUAGGUGGCAAGCGUUGUCCGGAUUUAUUGGGCGUAAAGCGAGCGCAGGCGGUUUCUUAAGUCUGAUGUGAAAGCCCCCGGCUCAACCGGGGAGGGUCAUUUGAAACUGGGAGACUUGAGUGCAGAAGAGGAGAGUGGAAUUCCAUGUGUAGCGGGGAAAUGCUUAGAUAUAUGGAGGAACACCAGUGGCGAAGGCGGCUCUCUGGUCUGUAACUGACGCUGAGGCUCGAAAGCGUGGGGAGCAAACAGG